GACGAACGCUGGCGGCGUGCUUAACACAUGCAAGUCGAACGGGCCCGCCCCUGUUUUUGGGGGUGGGUUGAGUGGCGAACGGGUGAGUAUCACGUGAGUAACCUGCCCCCUGCUCCUGGAUAACUGCUUGAAAGGGCGGCUAAUACGGGGUGUGCCGGCUGGUCCGCAUGGGCCUGGUCGGGAUAGUUUCAUCUUCGGGUGUUUCGGUGGGGGAUGGGCUCGCGGCCUAUCAGCUUGUUGGGGGGGGGAUGGCCCACCAAGGCGGUGACGGGGAGCCGGCCUGAGAGGGUGGGCGGCCACACUGGGACUGAGACACGGCCCAGACUCCUGCGGGAGGCAGCAGUGGGGGGUAUUGCACAAUGGGCGGAAGCCUGAUGCAGCGACGUCGCGUGAGGGAUGGAGGCCUUCGGGUUGUGAACCUCUUUCUCCGGUGGUGAAGGCCCUGUCCGUUGCGGCGGGGUUGACGGUAGCCGGGUAUGAAGCGCCGGCUAACUACGUG
rnacentral:rRNA from 1 species